CACGUAGGGUGCGAGCGUUGUCCGGAAUUACUGGGCGUAAAGGGCGCGUAGGCGGCCUGUUAAGUCGAACGUGAAAUCCCCGGGCUCAACCCGGGAACUGCGUCCGAUACUGGCAGGCUUGAAUCCGGGAGAGGGAUGCGGAAUUCCAGGUGUAGCGGUGAAAUGCGUAGAUAUCUGGAGGAACACCGGUGGCGAAGGCGGCAUCCUGGACCGGCAUUGACGCUGAGGCGCGAAAGCCAGGGGAGCAAACGGG
rnacentral:rRNA from 1 species